rnacentral:rRNA from 1 species
AUACGUAGGGUGCGAGCGUUGUCCGGAAUUAUUGGGCGUAAAGAGCUCGUAGGCGGUUUGUCGCGUCGGCUGUGAAAACUCGGGGCUCAACCCCGAGCCUGCAGCCGAUACGGGCAGACUAGAGUUCGGCAGGGGAGACUGGAAUUCCUGGUGUAGCGGUGAAAUGCGCAGAUAUCAGGAGGAACACCGGUGGCGAAGGCGGGUCUCUGGGCCGAUACUGACGCUGAGGAGCGAAAGCGUGGGGAGCGAACA